UGAUCUCCCACUAAGACCUAACACUGC
rnacentral:piRNA from 1 species